rnacentral:rRNA from 1 species
UACAGAGGUCUCAAGCGUUGUUCGGAUUCAUUGGGCGUAAAGGGUGCGUAGGUGGCGCCGUAAGUCGGGUGUGAAAUUUCGGAGCUUAACUCCGAAACUGCAUUCGAUACUGCGGUGCUUGAGGACUGGAGAGGAGACUGGAAUUCAUGGUGUAGCAGUGAAAUGCGUAGAGAUCAUGAGGAAGACCAGUGGCGAAGGCGGGUCUCUGGAUCGGUACUGACGCUGAGGUGCGAAAGCGUGGGGAGCAAACAGG